CUCUCUCAUUUCACUCUCUGGCUGGUGGGCCGCCCCCCCUCCCCUCCCUUCCCUUCCCUUCCCUUCCCUUCUUUGCAUCUCUCUCCCUUCACUCUCUGGCUGGUGAAAAUCAAAGCAAAACAAGUUGGUCAUCGUUGGCUUUACUGAGACAGAGAGUGAUGAAGAAGAGUACUUGGCUGAGUUAACUCAUCAAAUGGCCCACUCCACCCUUGAAGAUGAUUUUAAGAAAAACGACCUCCCUUGCAGCACCGAAAAGACUAAGGUUGGUUGCAGUUGUAGAUAAGGAUCUAGUCGUGGAAGCCCGAAUGGGUCUUCACCUCCAGCAACUUGGGAUCUGCUGUAUGAGAUUGCAGGAGAAGUAGAGAGGACCAUUGGGUUUGAACCGGUUUGGAAGGGGAAAAAACCGAACCGAACCGAACCGAAAUUAAUCGGUUUGAACCGGUUUUCGGUUCGGUUCGGUUCAAAAAAUUAAAAAAAUAAUAAUUCGGUUUGGUUGUUUAUUUUGAUUCAAAACCGGACCGAACCGGAAAUGCUCAGCCCUAGUGCUCACAGCAUCACAUAUGGCUUUUUUUUUUUUAGUUGUAGGUGUUCGGAUUAGUUUAUAUGCAUCUCGAUUAAUAUUUCGAGAUCCUGAAAUUAAUGACUAUGAAAGCUUUCAAUGGUCCUGAAAGAACUCAAACUUAUAAUUAUUAAAAAAUAAAUUUAAAAUUUAUCCAGUUAAGCUACGUAUUCCUUUGAGUUCAGAUAUCGCCUUUCUUCUUUACCAGAGCAGUGGCAGCACAAAAUAUUGGGAGAUAGGCACAAAAAGUUUUGAUAUUUUAUAGGACAUUAAUUUUAGCAUUAGAUCGCUCGUUGUUUCCAUGAAUAAUUGUAACCAUAUAUAACCAGAACAAUUUAUUAUGGUA